AUGUAUGUAUGUAUACAGCUUUGUUAAUCAAAGAAUAUUAUAAACAGAAAAAACAUAUACUGGUGGGACUGAUUCUAGACAACUUAUUAAUUAUCUUAGGGUUGACUGGGGCUUCAAAUUUCACAUUUAGCAGCUUAUUCAACCAGGUUGACUGACUGACUGAAUAAAAAUUGAAAAUGAGAAUGGAAGUCAAGGUCAUCCCUAAAAUAUCUUCACACACACACACACACACACGCAUGCGUAUGUACUAAGGCUUCAGUACUGCAUACACCUAGGAGCUAAGAAUGAAAAAAAAAAAAA